rnacentral:rRNA from 1 species
GAUGAACGCUGGCGGCGUGCCUAAUACAUGCAGGUCGAGCGAACAGACGAGGAGCUUGCUCCUCUGACGUUAGCGGCGGACGGGUGAGUAACACGUGGAUAACCUACCUAUAAGACUGGGAUAACUUCGGGAAACCGGAGCUAAUACCGGAUAAUAUAUUGAACCGCAUGGUUCAAUAGUGAAAGACGGUUUUGCUGUCACUUAUAGAUGGAUCCGCGCCGCAUUAGCUAGUUGGUAAGGUAACGGCUUACCAAGGCAACGAUGCGUAGCCGACCUGUGAGGGUGAUCGGCCACACUAGAACGGAGACACGGUCCAGACUCCUGCGGGAGGCAGCAGUAGGGAAUCUUCCGCAAUGGGCGAAAGCCUGACGGAGCAACGCCGCGUGAGUGAUGAAGGUCUUCGGAUCGUAAAACUCUGUUAUGAGGGAAGAACAAAUGUGUAAGGAACUAUGCACGUCUUGACGGUACCUAAUCAGAAAGCCACGGCUAACUACGUG